CUGCUCACUCUGGCAGCAGAUAUACUAAAAUUGAAUGAUACUGGAAAGAUUAACAUUGCCUCUGCAUAACGAUGGCACACAGGUUUGUGAAGGAAAAAAAAAAAAC